UACGAAGGGGGCUAGCGUUGCUCGGAAUUACUGGGCGUAAAGGGCGCGUAGGCGGACAGUUAAGUCAGAGGUGAAAUCCCAGGGCUCAACCCUGGAAUUGCCUUUGAUACUGGCUGUCUUGAGUAUGGGAGAGGUGAGUGGAACUCCGAGUGUAGAGGUGAAAUUCGUAGAUAUUCGGAAGAACACCAGUGGCGAAAGGCGACUCACUGGCCCAUUACUGACGCUGAGGCGCGAAAGCGUGGGGAGCAAAACAGG
rnacentral:rRNA from 1 species